GAUGAACGCUGGCGGCGUGCCUAAUACAUGCAAGUCGAGCGAACGGACGAGAAGCUUGCUUCUCUGAUGUUAGCGGCGGACGGGUGAGUAACACGUGGAUAACCUACCUAUAAGACUGGGAUAACUUCGGGAAACCGGAGCUAAUACCGGAUAAUAUUUUGAACCGCAUGGUUCAAAAGUGAAAGACGGUCUUGCUGUCACUUAUAGAUGGAUCCGCGCUGCAUUAGCUAGUUGGUAAGGUAACGGCUUACCAAGGCAACGAUGCAUAGCCGACCUGAGAGGGUGAUCGGCCACACUGGAACUGAGACACGGUCCAGACUCCUACGGGAGGCAGCAGUAGGGAAUCUUCCGCAAUGGGCGAAAGCCUGACGGAGCAACGCCGCGUGAGUGAUGAAGGUCUUCGGAUCGUAAAACUCUGUUAUUAGGGAAGAAUAUAUGUGUAAGUAACUGUGCACAUCUUGACGGUACCUAAUCAGAAAGCCACGGCUAACUACGUGCCAGCAGCCGCGGUAAUACGUAGGUGGCAAGCGUUAUCCGGAAUUAUUGGGCGUAAAGCGCGCGUAGGCGGUUUUUUAAGUCUGAUGUGAAAGCCCACGGCUCAACCGUGGAGGGUCAUUGGAAACUGGAAAACUUGAGUGCAGAAGAGGAAAGUGGAAUUCCAUGUGUAGCGGUGAAAUGCGCAGAGAUAUGGAGGAACACCAGUGGCGAAGGCGACUUUCUGGUCUGUAACUGACGCUGAUGUGCGAAAGCGUGGGGAUCAAACAGGAUUAGAUACCCUGGUAGUCCACGCCGUAAACGAUGAGUGCUAAGUGUUAGGGGGUUUCCGCCCCUUAGUGCUGCAGCUAACGCAUUAAGCACUCCGCCUGGGGAGUACGACCGCAAGGUUGAAACUCAAAGGAAUUGACGGGGACCCGCACAAGCGGUGGAGCAUGUGGUUUAAUUCGAAGCAACGCGAAGAACCUUACCAAAUCUUGACAUCCUUUGACAGCUCUAGAGAUAGAGCCUUCCCCUUCGGGGGACAAAGUGACAGGUGGUGCAUGGUUGUCGUCAGCUCGUGUCGUGAGAUGUUGGGUUAAGUCCCGCAACGAGCGCAACCCUUAAGCUUAGUUGCCAUCAUUAAGUUGGGCACUCUAAGUUGACUGCCGGUGACAAACCGGAGGAAGGUGGGGAUGACGUCAAAUCAUCAUGCCCCUUAUGAUUUGGGCUACACACGUGCUACAAUGGACAAUACAAAGGGCAGCGAAACCGCGAGGUCAAGCAAAUCCCAUAAAGUUGUUCUCAGUUCGGAUUGUAGUCUGCAACUCGACUACAUGAAGCUGGAAUCGCUAGUAAUCGUAGAUCAGCAUGCUACGGUGAAUACGUUCCCGGGUCU
rnacentral:rRNA from 1 species